CCUACGGGAGGCAGCAGUGGGGAAUAUUGGACAAUGGGGGGAACCCUGAUCCAGCGACGCCGCGUGAGUGAAGAAGUAUUUCGGUAUGUAAAGCUCUAUCAGCAGGGAAGAAAAUGACGGUACCUGACUAAGAAGCCCCGGCUAACUACGUGCCAGCAGCCGCUGUAAUACGUAGGGGGCAAGCGUUAUCCGGAUUUACUGGGUGUAAAUGGAGCGUAGACGGUGCAGCAAGUCUGAUGUGAAAGAUCGGGGCCCAACCCCGGGACUGCAUUGGAAACUGUUGAACUGGAGUACAGGAGAGGUAAGCGGAAUUCCUAGUGUAGCGGUGAAAUGCGUAGAUAUUAGGAGGAACACCAGUGGCGAAGGCGGCUUACUGGCCUGUAACUGACGUUGAGGCUCGAAAGCGUGGGGAGCGAACAGGAUUAGAUACCCCUGUAGUC
rnacentral:rRNA from 1 species